GCCCAGGGGCUCCUGACCUUUAUAGGAAGACAUUUGAACAGAGCAGAAUGAAGGAAUGACAACCAGAAGAACAAACAACAACCAACCCUCUGAGAAGACAGGCAGCGUGGAAGGCACGGUGGAGAUGACUCGGACAGAAACCAUGAUUCUAGACCAAAAAAAGAAAAGGGGAAAAAAAUAGUUAAGAAAAGAAAAUCCGGGACUCACCACCACCCAAUUUAUCCUGCUUCUUCCUGAUCAAGUCCCCACCCUAGUGUGGAGGAGUGGGGCAAAGAGAGGAGGAAACAGGGGCAGGGAUGGGGCAGACGCCCUGACAUUGGUGGAGGGAACCCCCAUGCAGCUGGGGGUGGUGGGGACCCUCCUCAUCCAACCCCCACACUGGGAAAUGAAAAACAAGGAAAAAAUUCCUAGGAGGGGGAAAAAAUAACCAAAUCCCAAGCUUUAACUACAGCUGUGAAACCAAAUAUCGGGAGGGGGGUGGGAGGGUGGGCUGGAGGGGCAGGUGAGCCCCACGUCUCCCCUCACCUCGGGCCCCUCUCCCCCGAGGACUCGAGAUAAGGCACCAAAUACCUCAUAGAACUUUAAUG
rnacentral:lncRNA from 1 species